AUUGAACGCUGGCGGCAGGCCUAACACAUGCAAGUCGAAUGGUAACAGGAAACAGCUUGCUGUUUCGCUGACGAGUGGCGGACGGGUGAGUCAUGUCUGGGAAACUGCCUGAUGGAGGGGGAUAACUACUGGAAACGGUAGCUAAUACCGCAUAACGUCGCAAGACCAAAGAGGGGGACCUUCGGGCCUCUUGCCAUCAGAUGUGCCCAGAUGGGAUUAGCUAGUAGGUGGGGUAACGGCUCACCUAGGCGACGAUCCCUAGCUGGUCUGAGAGGAUGACCAGCCACACUGGAACUGAGACACGGUCCAGACUCCUACGGGAGGCAGCAGUGGGGAAUAUUGCACAAUGGGCGCAAGCCUGAUGCAGCCAUGCCGCGUGUAUGAAGAAGGCCUUCGGGUUGUAAAGUACUUUCAGCGGGGAGGAAGGGAGUAAAGUUAAUACCUUUGCUCAUUGACGUUACCCGCAGAAGAAGCACCGGCUAACUCCGUG
rnacentral:rRNA from 1 species